rnacentral:lncRNA from 1 species
UUUUUUUUUUUUUUUUUUUUGAGAUGGUGUCUCACUUUGUUGCCCAGGCUGGAAUGCAAUGGCACAAUCUCAGUUCACUGCAAGCUCCGCCUCCGCCAUUCUCCUGCCUCAGCCUCCCGAGUAGCUGGGAUUACAAGUGUCCGACACCAUACCUGGCUAAUUUUUUUUAUUUUUAGUAGAGACGGGGUUUCACCAUGUUAGCCAGGAUAGUCUCCAUCUCCUGACCUGGUGAUCUGCCCGCCUCGGCCUCCCAAAGUGCUGGGAUUACAGGCAUGAGCCACCACACCUGGCCUGUUUGUUUUUGUUUUUGAGAUGGAGUCUUGCUCUAUCACCAGGCUGGAAUGCAGUGGCACAGUCUCUCUCGGCUCACUGCAACCUCCAUCUCCCAGGUUCAAGCGAUUCUCCUACAUCAGCCUUCCAAGUACCUGGGCUACAGACACGUGCCACCAUGCCCAGCUAAUUUUUGUAUUUUUAAGACGGGGUUUCACCAUCUUUGCCAGGAUGGUCUCCUGAUCCCGUGAUCCACCAGCCUCGGCCUCCCAAAGUGCUGGGAUUACAAGCAUGAGACACUGCACCCAGAAAAUGUCUGUACUUUUAGUAGGGGCGAGAUUUCACCAUGUUGGCCAGGCUGGUCUCAAAUUCCUGACCUCAAGUGAUCCGCCCACCUCGGCCUCCCAAAGUGCUGGGAUUACAAGGCGUGAGCCAUCGCGCCUGGCCUGGAAUGACAAAGUCUUGUAACAGAAGCCCAAGCAACUCUUGCUAGGGAAGACUCCAGUAAUGGCCAAAAAAAAAAAAAAAAAAAGGAUGCAAAGAUGCAAUCACUGCUCAAAUCAUCCCAAAUCAGAAAGUGGCCCUGGCUGUUAACAGAAGCUGAAGCCUCCCACCAGUGAGAAGCCCAGGCCCAGGAAACAAGUCCUAAAGGGGCUGGCCGAAUCUGCAUCCUAGCCAAAGGCAAUCACUCCAAAGGAAGUCCCACAUCAGAGAUCAAAGGCCUGCUGAGUAAGGAGAGACAGGCCACAGGCUGAUAUCCCAUUGCCAAGGAAGACUGUCCUUCGCAGUUGUGCCUGGUGGAGCCUGAGACCUGACCCACUGAGGGUUCUGGAUCCAAGUAAUAGGAGAAGUUCCAAGUCUCUACAAGUAGGCCUAGCAGAGCUGGCUGAGUCAGCACCCCACAGUGACACUGUCUUUUGUUUUAAGACAAGGUCUCACUCUGUAGUCCAGGCUGGAGUGCGGUGGUGCAAUCUUGGCUCACUGCAGCCUCAACCUCCCAGGCACAAGCAAUCCUCCCACCUCAGCCUCCCAAGUAGCUUGUAGAAAUGGGGUUUCACCAUGUUGCCCAGGCUGGUCUUGAACUCCUGAGCUCAAGCGACCCUCUUGCCUCAGCCCCCAAAGUGUUGGGAUUACACGAGUGAGACCCCUCGCCCAGCUGACACUAUCUUCAUAAACCUCAGGCUCCUGCCCCCUUGUGCCCCAUGGCCAAGAAGAACUAAUCCGUGGCUGCAGGCCAGGAGAGGCUGAGCACUAAUCCCAGUGAGAAGCCCAGGCCUGAAUGUGAGAAAAGGCCCCACCCUGGCUGUGGGGCAUGUCUCCAGCCACGCCUAUGUCCCACAUCCAGCUCUGCUCACCUUCUGCUCCUCUGGCACCUGGAUUUUCCUCGCCUUCUUCAUGAUUGGCUGGGGCUUAAGUUCCUCCUCUGAGAAGCGGUGUCUUCGAGGGUCAAAGGUCUCAUGGCCAGGAAUGCUUGAUAGGGCAAGAUCAGCUGGGUCGGGUUCAAAGGUCAUCAGCACCUCCACGGUGUCUGGGUCCACAGGGCUGGGUGUGUCCCGAGAGGUCAGGCCUUGGAGAAACAGCACGUGUCAGCUGAGUGUGUAUUUUAGGGAAGGGGUUUCCAGAAGCUACCUCUUGCUCUGGUAUCAUAGCCACAUGGAGAGCCCUUCUGAGAUCUAGCAUAAAUUUGGCCAGGGACUAAUCUCCCUAAUAUAAAAUAUGAAGGUUCCCUCGCACACCGAUAACCCUAGCACUUUGGGAAGCCGAGGCGGCAAAUCACCUGAGGUCAGGAGUUUGAGACCAGCAUGGCCAACAUGGCAAAGCCUCAUCUUCACUAAAAGUAUGA